UGUGAAGAAUAGUAUUCUUUUCGUAUAAUUGCAGGGAUAUGGCCUGCGAGUCUCUACCAAGCUUCCGUAAAGAGCUUGACUACGAAAAAAUCAAUCUAUCCC
rnacentral:ncRNA from 2 species